GACGAACGCUGUCGGCGUGCUUAACACAUGCAAGUCGAACGGAAAGGCCCUGCUUUUGUGGGGUGCUCGAGUGGCGAACGGGUGAGUAACACGUGAGUAACCUGCCCUUGACUUUGGGAUAACUUCAGGAAACUGGGGCUAAUACCGGAUAGGAGCUCCUGCUGCAUGGUGGGGGUUGGAAAGUUUCGGCGGUUGGGGAUGGACUCGCGGCUUAUCAGCUUGUUGGUGGGGUAGUGGCUUACCAAGGCUUUGACGGGUAGCCGGCCUGAGAGGGUGACCGGCCACAUUGGGACUGAGAUACGGCCCAGACUCCUACGGGAGGCAGCAGUGGGGAAUAUUGCACAAUGGGCGGAAGCCUGAUGCAGCAACGCCGCGUGCGGGAUGACGGCCUUCGGGUUGUAAACCGCUUUCGCCUGUGACGAAGCGUGAGUGACGGUAAUGGGUAAAGAAGCACCGGCUAACUACGUGCCAGCAGCCGCGGUGAUACGUAGGGUGCGAGCGUUGUCCGGAUUUAUUGGGCGUAAAGGGCUCGUAGGUGGUUGAUCGCGUCGGAAGUGUAAUCUUGGGGCUUAACCCUGAGCGUGCUUUCGAUACGGGUUGACUUGAGGAAGGUAGGGGAGAAUGGAAUUCCUGGUGGAGCGGUGGAAUGCGCAGAUAUCAGGAGGAACACCAGUGGCGAAGGCGGUUCUCUGGGCCUUUCCUGACGCUGAGGAGCGAAAGCGUGGGGAGCGAACAGGCUUAGAUAUCCUGGUAGUCCACGCUGUAAACGGUGGGUACUAGGUGUGGGGUCCAUUCCACGGGUUCCGUGCCGUAGCUAACGCUUUAAGUACCCCGCCUGGGGAGUACGGCCGCAAGGCUAAAACUCAAAGGAAUUGACGGGGCCCCGCACAAGCGGCGGAGCAUGCGGAUUAAUUCGAUGCAACGCGUAGAACCUUACCUGGGUUUGACAUGGAUCGGGAGUGCUCAGAGAUGGGUGUGCCUCUUUUGGGGUCGGUUCACAGGUGGUGCAUGCCUGUCGUCAGCUCGUGUCGUGAGAUGUUGGGUUAAGUCCCGCAACGAGCGCAACCCUUGUUCACUGUUGCCAGCACGUUAUGGUGGGGACUCAGUGGAGACCGCCGGGGUCAACUCGGAGGAAGGUGGGGAUGACGCCAAGUCAUCAUGCCCCUUAUGUCCAGGGCUUCACGCAUGCUACAAUGGCUGGUACAGAGAGUGGCGAGCCUGUGAGGGUGAGCGAAUCUCGGAAAGCCGGUCUCAGUUCGGAUUGGGGUCUGCAACUCGACCUCAUGAAGUCGGAGUCGCUAGUAAUCGCAGAUCAGCAACGCUGCGGUGAAUACGUUCCCGGGGCU
rnacentral:rRNA from 1 species